UUGCACGCGCGGAGUAGAGCACACAGCAGGCGUUGCCGCCAACGCUUUUUGCCGUCGUUGCUUGCUUUGGUCGGUGGUUUCCGUGUCAUUGUGUUUCCCAUCCUGUGUGCGCGCAUUUCUCGCUCUCCCUCCCUCUCUACUUGUGUGCCGGUCUUCUCGCAGGCACGUGCGUGUUUCUGUGCGUGUGUGUGUGAGUAUGUGUGUGUGUGUGUGCUCUUCCACUCUUCCACGACACCACCACUCUUUCUCCGCCACCGCAUCCUUGACCUCAUCGCUCGUCGUCAUAGAGCACAACUCAUCCGCGACCUUCUCCAACCACCGAGACACGCACACGCGCACGAAUGCGAAGACGCCUCACACUUCUUCCCUCGACUGUGACACACCCAACGUACACACACACACACACAUACCACGCACGUAAAUACAGAUCCCGAAGCACGCCACAGCACGCGCAUAGCAUACGCACACACCUCUUUCUCGAAAAGUGCACCCACAAGAGAAGCCGAGCGAGCGGACGAGCAGUCGUGUGUGCAAGUUCACAAAUCUGACCCCGACGCCUUCUCUCUCUGUCGCCCUCUUGUUCAACACCUUGCAUUUCUUGCGCUUCACUGUUGUUCUAGCCGGUGUCGCUGUUGUCGCUGCUGCAGGAGGCGAAGCCGAUCAACGCCGCGAGCGAUCGUGUGGGAGCAACCGAAACGGAAAACUGUAGAGAGGGCACAGUGAAGCGUAGUAACCCACGCUUGUCUUUCUCCCUCUCCUUCUCAAGGCUGCACGUUUGCGUGUGUGUGUGUGUGUGUCGUAGCGGCCAUUGUAGUCACAUCUGUUUCUUUUCGAAUCACUUGCGCUGUAGCAAGGGUACCAUCGUGGGUGUGGUGUUGCUGUUGUUGCGUAGUGGCGGUGCAGCCUCCCUCGCUUCUCCCACCUCCUCCCUCCCUCCUUCUCCCUACGCCAUUCACCAGCCUUCCUCCCUUCUCCCUUCUUAUCUCGUUUUGUUGUUCGUUCUCCUUUGUGUAGACUUGUUUUUGAGAGAGAGUGUGUAUGUGUGGUGGCUUCCCCCUCCCCCCCCUUGUGUGUACGUGUGUGCCGCCGCCUUCAUCUGUAAGGCCUUAUCGGUGCAGACAUCGAGGCUUUGGUGCUCUUCUUCGUUUGUUGCUCGUCGUUGUUGCUCUCCCUCCCUCUCUAUAUACAUAAGCACUUCUAUCUAUACAUAUACGCGUUGGUUCCCCUUUUUUAUUGUUGUUGUUCGUGCGUGUAUGUGUGUGUGUGGUAGUAGUGGUGGUGGUGGUGGUUUUAUUUUGUUUUUGUUUUCACACAGUCCUCUUCGCUCUCUUGUCUCCUUAUACAGCCACCUUCACCGUGUUUUCUGCUUCUCUUACGUCGCUUCAUCUCCGUGGGCCCCUUCUUUGUUGUCGCGUCCCUUUUCAUCUAUCCUUCUUUGCUUGUUGUACGCGCGCGCGCGUGUGCGAGCGAGAGAGACAAGGAAGAACACACACGUACACACACACACACACACACACACACACACACACAUAACGCGAACAACGAGAACGUGAGGGCCAUCUCCCGUUUCACGCCUCCGACCCCCGCCCCCAUCUCCCCCUGUUUGUUCUCUCUUUUUCUCGGCUCUUUUCGUUUGUUCGGCUUUGAGCGUGGCCACCCACCCCCUUCCCCCUUUUCCUUGACGAGGCGUGCGCAGUCACGUACGCACCUGGACGCAGGCACACACCAAGAGGCGCGCAACCUUUCAUCUUUCACUCCUUUGGGUGUCUCCUCUUCCCAGGCUGCUGCUGCGUCUCUUCUCUCACCUUUUCGCCUCUCUUUGAGCACUUCAUAUUUUGCUUCCCUCCUCUGUCUUCCGUUUCUUGUGUCGUGCGCCCUCCCUCCCCCUCCCGCACCACCGCAACCACCACCCUGCUCGCUGGCCCACUCUUCCUUCGCUGAAUCAACGCCAGCUUGUCGCCAUGGCGUCCCUUGGCGCAGAGCACAAGCUGGAGUGUAAGAGCAUGGUGCUUACGCUCCACACCCUCUUCGACAUUCCACGCGACCUCGUCUCGCUCCACUCACGCCGCGAAAGUGUCGAGCUCGUGCUGAAGCCGACGGCGAAGUACUACUCGGAGAACAAGCGUUUCUGCAAGCUGGACUUGCCGGAACAGCAUGUCGCCUUCUCACCGUCCUCUAUCAUCUUCAAGCACGACCGCUUUGUUCUGGACUUCGAGUCAGCGCCACCGCCAUGCGGCCUCUCCUUCGCGCGAUCGUCGACACCGCACGGCGCUGCGUCCUUCGCGAACAGCAUGCCGAGCAACUUCUUGGACUCGCUUGCGGUGAACACCACGCUCACCGCGCCAGGGGUGGCGAGCAGCACUGGUAAGAUGCCUCUACACUUUGAGAGUGACGCGCGCGCUGGUGGCGCCGUUCCUCCCAAGCCUCGCCUCGCGUUCGGUGAGAGUGGCGACGAGGACCAGGACGUCAACCUCAGGAGCCCCAGUAGCCUCAAGCUGAGGACCUCAACGACCACCUUGUUCAGUGCCAUGCCGCCGAACCAGAUCGUCCUGCGCUACCCCACACGCUCAGAUCUUAAAGUCAUCGUCGAGGUGAUGGUGGGCGCACGACAGCGCCGUCACGACUCCUCUGCCGUGCGCUGGAUUACGCCAUCGUGGGCGGACCGAUCCAUCGCAGGCACUAUCAGCACCUUCGCCGCCGCUGACGGGGAAGUGAUGCGCCACAAGCUUGUCAACCGCUUCGUUGGGCUGACGGUGGGGCAUCUCUCCUGCACGAUGGAGCUGCCACACGCAGCCGACGAUCUGCGUGAGGUGACGGCGUUUGCCCCAACGGCGAUCGCAGACGCGGCGGAGCGCCUGUGCAAUGACUAUGAGCGCCUACGCCGCUUUCACACAGCGGACACGGAAGAGCAGCUGAAUGCUGUCCGCAGCGAACGCCCAGUUCGGCUUCGUGACUUUGUGGAGCAGCUCUCGACCGGCGCGAGCGAGUCCUCCAUCUACCGCGGCCUGCUGCUGGAGGUGUGCCCCAGCUUCUUUGUGCGCCGCAUCCGUCGAAUUUGCGCCAUGUACCCGCCCAUCCCGCAGAGCAGCUCCUGGGUGCGUACGGAUGCCGAAACGCUUGCCGCCGAGUACACUGGGCGCGAGAUGUCGCUCAUCCGCAACCUCUGCGCCGAACUUGGCCCCGACUUGAGCGCUAUCUCGCCGCGCAACCGCUUCCUAUCCUAUACCAGCGUGCAGCCCCUUGGCGACGAACUUUGGAAGUGGAUAAAGGACAACUACGCUCACCAGGAGAACGACAUCCUCGACUACGAACCGGACAUAUUUAUGGAGUCGCUCGCGCUGCACUAUGGCACGCCGGAGCCUGCGCCGAUUCAAUACGGUUUUUCGCCCAUCUCGUAUGAGCUGGACAGGCGCGCGUACUUCUGCGACUCGCUGCGCUUCCCGGUAAAUCGCGAGCACCACCGCUAUCGCGAUGAGGCGAUGGCGGCGCGCCAGAUGCGUGUGCCGCUGCAGCUGACGCCCUGCGAACGUCCGCUGCGCCCCAUUCGGCCAACAUCGCGCAGCGUCGGCGAGAUCGACAUUCUCCUAGAGAAGUACAAACCAGAGUUCGUGCAGCUCGUGCCGUCCAUUGCAGACGCCAUGGAGUGUGUGACACAGCAGAACGAACGUCUGCUACGAGAGCUGCUGCGCGAGUCACAACCUGCUGCCGGCGCAGCCGCGGCGAACGCAGGCACGCGUGAGCGGAUGCGCUCGCUCCCCUAUGAGGUGUGUCCGCACGGGUUUCAUCUCUUUCAGUCAGAGCGGCCCAGUGGGUCGUACGUGGCGCUGCUGACGCGCUUCGCAGAGUACACGUACAUCUCCGUCAGCACCCUUCUAGCAUCCGUAAUCUACCUGGACCGGCUGUGUCUCCGGCAUCCACGACUUCUGCUUACGGCGCGCAACAUCGAGAAGCUGCUUGUCGCCGCCGUGCGUGUUGCCAGCAAGGUUGUCGACCUCCGCAGCGUCAACAACAAGAACUUCGCGUCUGUUUUCAGCGUGCCGGUGCAGGACAUGAACGAGUUAGAGUCGGAGUUUCUCAAGCUCAUGAACUUCGACUUCUUCCUCUCGCCGAAGGAGUUCAACAACUACGCUCACCUGGUGCAGCUGCCGGCGGCAUACAUGCAGAUGCCGUCGAGCGUGCGCCUGUCGAGCACAGCGAGCGCGAACGGCGCUGUAGAAAGCAGCGCACCGCCGCCGUCGGCUUCGCACGAGGCUGCAGACCACGUAGCGGAUGUAAGCCACAGUGGGAACGGCGCGGCAUUGAGACUGGAGAGCAACACGAACAGCAGCAACACUAACAAAAUGUUGCUGAACACGCCGGCCGUCGCCACCCCUGCUCCCCCUCGGGCGCCGUCCCCGCAAUCACAGCAGCAAGGGCGCAGCAGUAGCGGCGCCUACAGCGUCGACACCUCGGUAGCCGCGCAGCGAGCACUACUAUCGAGCAAGCCAUCAUCCUCAGCGGACGGCUCGACUGCGACAGGAGUUGAGGCUGGUGGGAAGUACACCGAUGGCAGCGGCGGCGCUGCCGGGCACCGCUAUAUUCGCAGCGGAGUGAGAGGAGGAGGUGGUGGUGGCGGCGGUAGAGGAUCCGUUCCAGCCAACGGCUACGGGAGUGGCAGCAGUGCCAGAAGUGCUGGCGGCGGUGGCAGCGGGGCCACGAGUGGCAGCAAGGCACCAUCGGCGGAGUUCGCAAGCGGGACGCGGGUGCUGAGCAUUCCCUGAAAACCACCCCGAAAAGGGCCCGUGCCGUCCUCACCCCUCCCCGACUCACGCUGGUGCGGAAUCGACGUUCGAACAAAAAGUGCAGAGCCAAUGUUAGGUGCUGAUGCAAUGCUGUGAGCGAAGCACCGAUGCGCAGAUGCGUUGAGCAGCCGCACUGGGCGGGCCCAGUAAGGUGCGACGAUCAGAAAAAGGGCAAGCAUAUGCAUAGAUGAUGCAAAACACAAACGAAAGCCCCCCCCCGCCGCCGCCCUCCUUCCUUGUCAGGAAAAAAAGAAAGAGGGGACCUUUGUCAAGUUAGAGCGAGCGGUGGCGCUGUAGGUGUGGUUCUCGAGUGAGGGGCUAGAGGGUGAACACGAGGGGAGGAGCGGGAGAGUCCGUGAGCUGUGGCCAGAGAGAGAGCUCAGUUAAUGCAGAACGUGAUAUGAAUUCAUGGAGGCGUCUGCUGCCUUCAUUUUUUUCUUUCGCCAUUUUAGCGGGUGGAGGAGAGGGGGGUAUCUGCUCUCUAUGCAUGUGCCUGUGUGUGUGUGUUGCGGCGCUCUUUUCUUCUCUCGAUAUCGGUAUCGUGACGCAUCACACCACCCCUCCCCCCUCUCCCUCUCUCACGGCUCGGCUCUGUCGUGGUCACCCACUUCCCUGUCCCCAUCGCCGCGUGUGCUUGCGUCUGUGUAUCUCACCUAUCGCACAUAUGCACUUUUCUCCCUCCUCCGCUUUACUCUCUUUUUUUUAGGCUUUCAACUCGUUUCUGUUGUGUAUUUAUUGUUCUCCUUUCACGCGUGUGCGCACGCGCCUGAGUGCCUCCCUGUCUGUCCGUUCGUCGGUCCUGUAUGUUUCUAUAUUUCUGUACAGAUAUAUAUAUGUAUAUAUAUAUAUAUAUAUCGUCGUACGCGCGUAUGUGUAAAGAAGAGCGUUUCGGUGUCCUUAUUUUUCUUCCCUCUCCCCCUUUUUUUUGUCCUCUCGUUUCACUGCUUUGUUGUGUUUGGGUCAUCAUUACCGCCACUUCAUCCUCCCCCUCCUCCCCUCUCCUUUGCGUCCGCCUUCUCAUUCUCUCUCUCUCUCUCGCGUUGUCUCUCUGUCGAAAUCGUGGCUGUGUAAUGUGCCGUCUGCUGUCGUCGGCUCGGGUGGCAAGGAUGUGUGCGUGGAAGGGAGGGGGGUGAUUGAUGGUUUCGCUUGUAGUUCGUGUAUGAUGUUUGCUAUCUCCCAAACAGUUCGUUUUCCUCUUCAAGGUCUUUUUUGUCGGUUUUCUGUUUUGCUGUUUUAAUUUUUAUUUCGUUCACUUCUGCUGUUUUACCGCAACCUUCAGCAUUCGCCUGAUGGCCAACACGCACACACAGCAAUAGCAACAGCGUAGCUUUUUGUACUUUUCUGUACUGUACUCGAUUUCUCUUUCCUGAUUGUAUUUGAUUGUUUUCGGCAUCGUUUCCUUCUCUCUUUCCUUUCUCGUUGUAUUUGUGGGAAGAGCUACUACCACUGCACCCUCAGUCUCCCCUCUCUCUUCACGUCUCUUACCCGCUCUCUCCAUCCCUCCCGCCGCAUCACUAGCCGGGAGUUGUGGCACCGUUGAUGCUGUUGUCAUUAUCUGCACUGGUUGCUUUCCUUUCUCUUCUCCAUUCAUACACGUAUCCCCCCCUCAUCUGUGCGUGCGUUCAUGUGUGGUUGCCGUAGCUCCUCUUCUUCACCCUGCUCCGACCUGUUGGCAACCCCCUUUUACCUUCUAUCCCCGCCCCAUUCCAACGUCUCUGCCACCGUCCGAAUGCGUGCGUGCUGGUGAAGAAAAGAGAGGAAGGGGCUGAAGAAGGUGGUAUGUGUAUGGGAGAAGACUGGAGGGAAGCAGCGGCUCGUUUGUGUGUGUGUGUUUCCACAUACACACGCAGAGAACCCUUUUCUCUUCCGUCGCCCCUAACCUUCGUUGACUCCCCUCCCCCUUCCCUCCUCCUCCUCUCUGGUGACGCGGCACUACAAAAAAAAACACAACAUACAUGUACAGUCCAUGCCCUUCUCUCUUUGUUUUCUCUUGUAUUUGUGAGAGUGUGUAUUUUUAAUGUAUGCUCGUUGGCGUGUUGGUCAGUGUGCAGGCCCAACCCUUUCCCUUCCUCUCUCCCUCCUCCAACCCACCCCAUCCCCAUUCACUCGUCUCUCGCACACCUUUUUCCCUUCGCCUCUAUUUUCUCUUGUCUCCUCUUGCAGCGCUUGCAAGCGCUCCCCCCUCCCACCUCGUGUUUGGCUUUUGUGUGUUUGUGUUGUCGCGGUGGCGACAAGCCGUGUUCAAACGGGCCACGCUCUCUUCAUGUUUUCCCCAUUUUUUUUCUGCUCGCGCGCGUUUGUGUGCGUGCGCGUGUGCGUGUUCCAUCCCUUCAUCGCCUUCCUUCUUUGUGUUCCGCUUCUGCGCCCCACUCCUCCUUCAUUGGCCGCAUUGGUUAUUUUUCGUUUCGCUUCUCCCUUUCCGCCGCCGCCGCCGCCGCCACCACCUCCCCCCUGCAUGUUUGUCUGCCCAGCGUGUCUCCCCUCCUCUUCCUUUGCUUUGCCUCUCGCAUUGGCGUGGGCGCACUGAUGGCCGCGGACACCUCGGCGUGGCAUGAGGGUCCACUACCCCUCUCCGUAUGGGGAAGCCGAGCAGCCUCGCCCGCCCCCCCCCCACCUCUGUCAAUGCACAACCACCUCUGGUGGGUGGCAGGGCCAGGUGCCUGCGGCGUAGGGGGAGGCCAGUGCGAUGUACCGCCACUGAUGCCGGCGGUCAGGUCCUGGAUGGCGCUUCAUCGGAGAGAGCUGCGACAGUGAAUACGCUUGCACUAUCCACAUGAUGGGCAGCGUGUCGACGUGACUCGACCGCAUCUCAGUCGGCCCUUGCUGCCCGCUGGUGGGUGAGCCUGAGCCAUCCCAAGCGAUGCGCCAGCUGGCGACCUGCUCAGCGUGGAGUGGCGGGCAGAGUUUGAGGCAGGGGCCGUGCUCCGAUGGCUGAGUCGGCGCAUCGCUGUAGCGCGUGUGCCUACGGCUGCUUUGCACCACGCGAUGGGUGGCGUGUGGGCACAGCGUCCUUUGACCUCACGUUGUGUGCGGCAGCGAAAAAAAAACGGGCACGCGCCCAAGACGAUUUUUUACCCUUUCUCUAUGUGUAUUCAUAUGCGUGUGUGCGUGUUUGACCCUCCCCCUCUCCCUCCUCCUCCUCUCCACCCCCACCCCCAUCCCCGUCUUCCCGACCGUCGAAGGAGGGAGGCGCGCGCUCUACCCACAAAAGAAAAUCAACAAAAAAACCGGAACUGUCCCUCUUGUCUCCACGCGUCUCCGACGCUCGGCGACGCUGUGACGCCCCACAUUGUGUGUUUGCUUGUUUGGUCUCAUCUACCCUUUUCCCUGCCGCCUUAUCUCAUUGUGUCCAUAUGUGUGUGUGGUACUGUUUGGUGUUUUCGUGUCCGUAUAUAUGUGUGCAACUUGUCUGUGUUCGCUCUGCGCUGAUCUUUCCUCGAUGUUUCCGUCUGCCCCUCUCCCUCUGUGUGUGUGUGUGUGUGUGUGUUCGACGGCGUCUUGAUCUCUCUUGUGUUGCGUGUUUCUCGUUUUCCCCUGCAUGGAUCUUCUCUUCU
rnacentral:misc_RNA from 1 species